AAUAUUGCGCAAUGGAGGUAACUCUGACGCAGCGACGCCGCGUGAUCGAUGAAGGUCUUCGGAUCGUAAAGCUCUGUUCUGGGGGAAGAAGGUCUUCGGACUUGACGGUACCUAAGGAGGAAGCCCCGGCUAACUACGUGCCAGCAGCCGCGGUAAUACGUAGGGGGCAAGCGUUGUCCGGAAUUAUUGGGCGUAAAGGGUGCGUAGGCGGCCUUUUAAGUCAGAUGUGAAAGCCCACGGCUUAACCGUGGGACUGCAUUUGAAACUGGAGGGCUUGAGUAUCGGAGAGGGUAGUGGAAUUCCCAGUGUAGCGGUGGAAUGCGUAGAUAUUGGGAGGAACACCAGUGGCGAAGGCGACUUACUGGUCUGUGAUUGACGCUGAGGCUCGAAAGCGUGGGUAGCGAACA
rnacentral:rRNA from 1 species